rnacentral:rRNA from 1 species
AAUCAUAAGCGGAGGAAAAGAAACCAACAGGGAUUGCCCUAGUAACGGCGAGUGAAGCGGCAACAGCUCAAAUUUGAAAUCUGGCUCCUUUGGGGCCCGAGUUGUAAUUUGUAGAGGGUGCUUUGGCGUUGGCCCCGGCCUAAGUCCCUUGGAACAGGGCGUCACAGAGGGUGAGAAUCCCGUACGUGGCCGACCGCCUUCGCCGUGUAAAGCCCCUUCGACGAGUCGAGUUGUUUGGGAAUGCAGCUCUAAAUGGGAGGUAAAUUUCUUCUAAAGCUAAAUACUGGCCAGAGACCGAUAGCGCACAAGUAGAGUGAUCGAAAGAUGAAAAGCACUUUGGAAAGAGAGUCAAAAAGCACGUGAAAUUGUUGAAAGGGAAGCGCUUGCAGCCAGACUUGCCUGUAGUUGCUCAUCCGGGUUCCUGCCCGGUGCACUCUUCUGCUGGCAGGCCAGCAUCAGUUUGGGCGGCCGGAUAAAGGUCUCGGUAACGUACCUCCCCUCGGGGAGUGUUAUAGGGGGGGGCGUCAUGCAGCCAGCCUGGACUGAGGUCCGCGCAUCUGCUAGGAUGCUGGCGUAAUGGCUGUAAGCGGCCCGUCUUGAAACACGGACCAAGGAGUCUAACAUCUAUGCGAGUGUUUGGGUGUCAAGCCCGAGCGCGUAAUGAAAGUGAACGGAGGUGGGAACCUUUCGGGGUGCACCAUCGACCGAUCCUGAUGUCUUCGGAUGGAUUUGAGUAAGAGCAUAGCUGUUGGGACCCGAAAGAUGGUGAACUAUGCUUGAAUAGGGUGAAGCCAGAGGAAACUCUGGUGGAGGCUCGCAGCGGUUCUGACGUGCAAAUCGAUCGUCAAAUUUGGGCAUAGGGGCGAAAGACUAAUCGAACUAUCUAGUAGCUGGUUCCUGC